UACGUAGGGUCCGAGCGUUGUCCGGAAUUACUGGGCGUAAAGCGCGCGCAGGCGGCCCGCGAGGUGUCACGUGAAAGCCCCGGGCUCAACCCGGGAGGGUCGUGGCAAACCGGCGGGCUUGAGGCCGGUAGAGGUGGGUGGAACUCCUGGUGGAGUGGUGAAAUGCGUAGAGAUCAGGAAGAACACCCGUGGCGAAGGCAGUGUCCUGGGUGGUCGCUGACGCUGAGAGGCGAAAGCCAGGGGAGCGAACGGG
rnacentral:rRNA from 1 species